GCGACAAAGGGCUGGGCAGAUACACUGCAUUGUCAGCCUGAAGAUCUGAUUGAAGUGCUGAAGCUGCUGUCUGAGCCACCAGCAGAAACCAGCACUCCAGCCACUGGAGACAGCGAGGUCACCCCCACCAGUCAGCUGCACACUGGCCACAAAAACUGCAGCAGGGCUCCUGUUCCAGCUGCAAAGCACACAGCUACCUGCCCCACUUCCACAUUUGACGAUGCUUCCGUCUCUUUCCAGCGGACCCUCUCUGCAGCGGAGAAAGGCAGGAGGCUGAUCAAGGCAGCUAACGAUGGCAGUGCAAGAGCUGCAGAUGGUGCUGGCAGCUGGGGCUGAUGUGGGUGCGACGGAUGGGAACAAGAAUACUGCGCUGCACUG